AUUGAACGCUGGCGGCAUGCCUUACACAUGCAAGUCGAACGGUAACAGGUUAAGCUGACGAGUGGCGAACGGGUGAGUAAUAUAUCGGAACGUGCCCAGUCGUGGGGGAUAACUGCUCGAAAGAGCAGCUAAUACCGCAUACGACCUGAGGGUGAAAGCGGGGGAUCGCAAGACCUCGCGCGAUUGGAGCGGCCGAUAUCAGAUUAGGUAGUUGGUGGGGUAAAGGCCUACCAAGCCUACGAUCUGUAGCUGGUCUGAGAGGACGACCAGCCACACUGGGACUGAGACACGGCCCAGAAUCCUACGGGAGGCAGCAGUGGGGAAUUUUGGAGAAUGGACGCAAGUCUGAUCCAGCCAUGCCGCGUGCGGGAAGAAGGCCUUCGGGUUGUAAACCGCUUUUGUCAGGGAAGAAAAGGUUCUGGUUAAUACCUGGGACUCAUGACGGUACCUGAAGAAUAAGCACCGGCUAACUACGUGCCAGCCGCCGCCGUAAUAC
rnacentral:rRNA from 1 species